rnacentral:rRNA from 1 species
CACGCUGUCGGUUCACCGCUCGUCGGUGUUUAACUGGCAUGCCGUGCGGACGUCCUGCCGGUGGAUGCGGUCGGCCGUGGGCCUCUGGUCUGCGUGUCGGCGGUCCGAUUGAAUCCUACCGCGGUGCUCUUUACCGAGUGUCGAGGUGGGCCGGCACAUUUACUUUGAACAAAUUAGAGUGCUCAAAGCAGGCAGUUGCUAGCCUGAAUAUUGUGUGCAUGGAAUAAUGGAAUAGGACCUCGGUUCUAUUUUGUUGGUUUUCGGAAUCAGAGGUAAUGAUUAAGAGGGACAAGCGGGGGCAUUCGUAUUGCGACGUUAGAGGUGAAAUUCUUGGAUCGUCGCAAGACGGACAUAAGCGAAAGCAUUUGCCAUGAGUGUUUUCAUUAAUCAAGAACGAAAGUUAGAGGUUCGAAGGCGAUCAGAUACCGCCCUAGUUCUAACCAUAAACGAUGCCAGCCAGCGAUCCGCCGAAGUUCCUCCGAUGACUCGGCGGGCAGCUUCCGGGAAACCAAAGCUUUUGGGUUCCGGGGGAAGUAUGGUUGCAAAGCUGAAACUUAAAGGAAUUGACGGAAGGGCACCACCAGGAGUGGAGCCUGCGGCUUAAUUUGACUCAACACGGGGAAUCUCACCAGGCCCGGACACCGGAAGGAUUGACAGAUUGAGAGCUCUUUCUUGAUUCGGUGGGUGGUGGUGCAUGGCCGUUCUUAGUUGGUGGAGUGAUUUGUCUGGUUAAUUCCGAUAACGAACGAGACUCUGGCCUGCUAACUAGUCGUACUCGGUAUCCGGCGUGCUACCGGCGACUAAAUAUCUUCUUAGAGGGACAGGCGGCUUCUAGCCGCACGAGAUUGAGCAAUAACAGGUCUGUGAUGCCCUUAGAUGUCCUGGGCCGCACGCGCGCUACAAUGGAGGAAUCAGCGUGUCUUCCUAGCCCGAAAGGGCCGGGUAACCCGUUGAAAUUCCUUCUUGCUUGGGAUUGGGGCUUGCAAUUAUUCCCCAUGAACGAGGAAUUCCCAGUAAGCGCGAGUCAUCAGGUCGCGUUGAUUACGUCCCUGCCCUUUGUACACACCGCCCGUCGCUACUACCGAUUGAAUGAUUUAGUGAGGUCUUCGGACCGGUGCGCGAUGGCUCUCCGAGCUGUUGAUGUUGCUGGGAAGAUGACCAAACUUGAUCAUUUAGA